GCGUCUGUAGCCUAGUUGGUAAAGGAAGUCUCAAGCUCAUAGAGCUGAGGUCGUGAGUUCGACUCUCACCAGACACA
rnacentral:tRNA from 1 species